UUUCAGUAUCCCCAGUGGAUGGAGCAUGCAUGGGAGGUAAUUGCACUGGAAUGCAGCCCAGGAGCCUAUGUGGAUAGGAUAACUGCUGAGAAUGCGAUGCUCACAGGAUGUGGCUCUGAAGAACAUGGCCGUAUGCGAAAAUAAAAAUGACGAAGAAAAAAACAAACAUGUUACCCAUGCAAAGCCAAAGUUACUAAAACCAGUCCAUAACCCUCUUCUCCCACCUGGUUUUGGCAACAACAUCAUUCCCAAAUGACUGCUAACCUCUAGCGCGAUGCUGGAUAAAUGUAAUCUGCAGAGCUGCUCAGAAAGGAAGCUUCAAGUCACAAGCGAGAAACAGAAAUGCACCCUGUUGUCUUAUACAGGCAAACCCUACUACAUAUCUUUCCCUACAUGGAUUAACUGACGACAACUGCAAAUCAAUUCACUUCAUAAUUAAAAG